CAAGAUGGCGACGUAUCCACCGCGGAGGCUGCUGGGAGCAAGACCUUUACCCUCUGACCCCCGCCGUGACCCCCGUCGCUCCGGCUUCCCUCAAGGCGGCGGCGGCGGCGGCGGCGGAAGGCGCGGGCCUCGCCUCACGCCCACCACCUGGAGCGAAUCUGACGGAUGUCCCUUUGCCUCCCUCAGCCCCCGCCACCCCCGGGGCCUGUGCACGCAUUUCCAGGGACCGGCAGCGCGUCACCGUCACCUCCCGAGAAGCAGAGUGGACAGUGAGAGAGAGAGACAGAGAGAAAAGGUCUUCCUUUGCCGUUGGUUCACCCUCCAAUGGCCGCUGCGGCCGGUGCACUGUGGCCGGCGCACCAUGCCGAUCCGAAGGCAGGAGCCAGGUGCUUCUCCUGGUCUCCCAUGGGGUGCAGGGCUCAAGCACUUGGGCCAUCCUCCACUGCACUCCCUGGCCACAGCAGAGAGCUGGCCUGGAAGAGGGGCAACCGGGACAGAAUCCGGCGCCCCGACCAGGACUAGAACCUGGUGUGCCGGCGCCGCAAGGUGGAGGAUUAGCUUAUUGAGCCGCAGCGCUGGCCACUACUAUAUGAUGGAUGCAGAUACCUCAGGAAGCAAAACAAACCCUAAUGCCUUCCACAUGGAGAUUAAAGAGAGUGAAGCAGGCAAUAGAAGAAAAGUCCAAAGUAAAAUUGGCAUUAUCUGGCCUAUGUGACUCCUGUACAUCCACCAAGUCUUCAGUAAAGCAGAGUUCUUAAGUGGAGAACUAAAGACUCAAAGAAAGCAAAGAAGAAGAUAAUGAAGUCCAUUUGGUGAUCCAAAGUUGGAGACAUUGUCAAUGUGCAUGAGAACAGAGAAGUAAAAUAAAUACAAAUUCAGAUAUAAUAUGUCAAGAAGAUGCAGUGGGUCUUCUCAAAAGUAACCUAACAACUUGGAAUGGAAAUGGGUUCUGGAAAUUCUAGAGAUAUAAAGAGAAAAAAAGGAAGAAAGAAAAGGAGAACAUUAACAGCUUGCAAAUGAUUUAAGAUUAUAAUUUUGAAUGGAGAAAAUGUAUUCCAAACAAAAAAUACAACCAUAUACUUAGGUACAUUUAUAUAAUUCUUCCAUCAUAAUCUAGGAACAGAGGAGUUCAGUUAUUAUACUGGGAUUAUAUUGGAGAUAUUGGGGACAGCAUUGUGGCACAGCAGGUUAGACAGCCACCUAGGACACCAGCCUCCUCUAUGGGCAGCAGUUUGAGUCCUGGCUGCUCCACUUCUGAUUCAGCUACCUGCUAAUGCACCUGGGAAAGCAGCAGAAGAUGUCCCAAGUCCUCUGGCCCCUGCACCUACGUAACAGAUCAGGAUGGAGUUUCAGGCUUCUGGCUUUGGCCCAGUCCAGCCCCAAACAUUGUGGCCAUUUUGGGAGUGAACCAGUGGAUGGAACAUCUCUUUCUCUGUCUCUCCCUCUCUU